rnacentral:rRNA from 1 species
UACAGAGGGGGCAAGCGUUAUUCGGAAUUAUUGGGCGUAAAGGGCGCGUAGGCGGCCUGGCAAGUGGAUGGUGAAAUCCCUCGGCUUAACCGAGGAACUGCCAUCCAGACUGCUUGGCUUGAGACCGGGAGAGGUGAGUGGAAUUCCCAGUGUAGCGGUGAAAUGCGUAGAUAUUGGGAAGAACACCGGUGGCGAAGGCGGCGACCUGGUCCGAUACUGACGCUGAGGCGCGAAAGCGUGGGGAGCAAACAGG